rnacentral:rRNA from 1 species
AUGCAGUCGAACGGGAAUUACUUUAUUGAAACUUCGGUCGAUUUAAUUUAAUUCUAGUGGCGGACGGGUGAGUAACGCGUGGGUAACCUGCCUUGUACAGGGGGAUAACAGUCAGAAAUGACUGCUAAUACCGCAUAAGCGCACAGGACCGCAUGGUCCGGUGUGAAAAACUCCGGUGGUAUAAGAUGGACCCGCGUUGGAUUAGCUAGUUGGUGAGGUAACGGCCCACCAAGGCGACGAUCCAUAGCCGGCCUGAGAGGGUGAACGGCCACAUUGGGACUGAGACACGGCCCAGACUCCUACGGGAGGCAGCAGUGGGGAAUAUUGCACAAUGGGGGAAACCCUGAUGCAGCGACGCCGCGUGAAGGAAGAAGUAUCUCGGUAUGUAAACUUCUAUCAGCAGGGAAGAAAAUGACGGUACCUGACUAAGAAGCCCCUGCUAACUACGUGCCAGCAGCCGCGGUAAUACGUAGGGGGCAAGCGUUAUCCGGAUUUACUGGGUGUAAAGGGAGCGUAGACGGAUGGACAAGUCUGAUGUGAAAGGCUGGAGCUCAACCCCGGGACUGCAUUGGAAACUGCCCGUCUUGAGUGCCGGAGAGGUAAGCGGAAUUCCUAGUGUAGCGGUGAAAUGCGUA